rnacentral:misc_RNA from 1 species
GGGGAGUACGAACGCAAGUUUGAAACUCAAAGGAAUUGACGGGGGCCCGCACAAGCGGUGGAGCAUGUGGUUUAAUUCGAUGAUACGCGAGGAACCUUACCAAGGCUUAAAUGUAGAUUGACAGGUUUGGAAACAGACUUUUCUUCGGACAAUUUACAAGGUGCUGCAUGGUUGUCGUCAGCUCGUGCCGUGAGGUGUCAGGUUAAGUCCUAUAACGAGCGCAACCCCUGUCGUUAGUUGCCAGCGAGUCAUGUCGGGAACUCUAACGAGACUGCCAGUGCAAACUGUGAGGAAGGUGGGGAUGACGUUGACGUCAUAACC